rnacentral:rRNA from 1 species
GUGGGGAAUAUUGGACAAUGGGCGAAAGCCUGAUCCAGCCAUGCCGCGUGUGUGAAGAAGGUCUUCGGAUUGUAAAGCACUUUAAGUUGGGAGGAAGGGCAGUAAGUUAAUACCUUGCUGUUUUGACGUUACCAACAGAAUAAGCACCGGCUAACUUCGUGCCAGCAGCCGCGGUAAUACGAAGGGUGCAAGCGUUAAUCGGAAUUACUGGGCGUAAAGCGCGCGUAGGUGGUUCAGCAAGUUGGAGGUGAAAUCCCCGGGCUCAACCGGGGAACUGCCUCCAAAACUACUGAGCUAGAGUACGGUAGAGGGUAGUGGAAUUUCCUGUGUAGCGGUGAAAUGCGUAGAUAUAGGAAGGAACACCAGUGGCGAAGGCGACUACCUGGACUGAUACUGACACUGAGGUGCGAAAGCGUGGGGAGCAAACAGGAUUAGAAACCCCAGUAGUCC